rnacentral:rRNA from 1 species
CCUACGGGUGGCAGCAGUGGGGAAUAUUGGUCAAUGGGCGCAAGCCUGACCCAGCAACGCCGCGUGCAGGAAGAAGGCUUUAGGGUUGUAAACUUCUUUUAAGAGGGAAGAGCAGAAGACGAUACCUCUUGAAUAAGCCACGGCUAACUACGUGCCAGCAGCCGCGGUAAUACGGAGGUGGCAAGCGUUGUCCGGAUUGACUGGGUGUAAAGGGCGUGCAGCCGGGAAGACAAGUCCGAUGUGAAAUCCCGCGGCUCAACCGCGGAACUGCAUUGGAAACUGGUUUUCUUGAGUACCGGGGAGGUAAGCGGAAUUCCUGGUGUAGCGGUGAAAUGCGUAGAUAUAAGGAAGAACACCAGUGGCGAAGGCGGAUGACUGGACGGCAACUGACGGUGAGGCGCGAAAGCGUGGGGAGCAAACAGGAUUAGAUACCCCGGUAGUC